CCUACGGUGGGCAGCAGUGGGGAAUAUUGCACAAUGGGGGAAACCCUGAUGCAGCGACGCCGCGUGAGUGAAGCAGUAUUUCGGUAUGUAAAGCUCUAUCAGCAGGGAAGAAAAAAGACGGUACCUGACUAAGAAGCCCCGGCUAACUACGUGCCAGCAGCCGCGGUAAUACGUAGGGGGCAAGCGUUAUCCGGAUUUACUGGGUGUAAAGGGAGCGUAGACGGUAUGGCAAGUCUGAAGUGAAAGCCCAGUGCUUAACCCUGGGACUGCUUUUGAAACUGUUAGACUAGAGUGCUGGAGAGGUAAGUGGAAUUCCUAGUGUAGCGGUGAAAUGCGUAGAUAUUAGGAGGAACACCAGUGGCGAAGGCGGCUUACUGGACAGUAACUGACGUUGAGGCUCGAAAGCGUGGGGAGCAAACAGGAUUAGAUACCCUAGUAGUC
rnacentral:rRNA from 1 species